CAGUAGCCACGGGAAUACGAAGGGGGCUAGCGUUGUUCGGAUUUACUGGGCGUAAAGCGCACGUAGGCGGAUCGAUCAGUCAGGGGUGAAAUCCCAGAGCUCAACUCUGGAACUGCCUUUGAUACUGUCGAUCUGGAGUAUGGAAGAGGUGAGUGGAAUUCCGAGUGUAGAGGUGAAAUUCGUAGAUAUUCGGAGGAACACCAGUGGCGAAGGCGGCUCACUGGUCCAUUACUGACGCUGAGGUGCGAAAGCGUGGGGAGCAAACAGGAUUAGAUACCCGCGUAGUCCCUGUCUCUUAUAC
rnacentral:rRNA from 1 species